GCAGGUAUCUGUUUAGAGGGAAUGAGAAGAUGGGCUUGGUGAACACCUGGAGCAGGUAUCUGUUUAGAGGGAAUGAGAAGAUGGGUGAACACCUGGAGCAGGUAUCUGUUUAGAGGGAAUGAGAAGAUGGGUGAACACCUGGAGCAGGUAUCUGUUUAGAGGGAAUGAGAAGAUGGGCUUGGUGAACGCCUGGAGCAGGUAUCUGUUUAGAGGGAAUGAGAAGAUGGGCUUGGUGAACGCCUGGAGCAGGUAUCUGUUUAGAGGGAAUGAGAAGAUGGGCUGGGUGAACGCCUGGAGCAGGUAUCUGUUUAGAGGGAAUGAGAAGAUGGGUGAACGCCUGGAGCAGGUAUCUGUUUAGAGGGAAUGAGAAGAUGGGCUUGGUGAACGCCUGGAGCAGGUAUCUGUUUAGAGGGAAUGAGAAGAUGGG